UCUGUCUUAGGGGUGAUGUCCCCCCCUGGGGUAGAGAGGUCUGUCUUAGGGGUGGUGUCCCCCCUGGGGUAGAGGUCUGUCUUAGGGGUGGUGUCCCCCCCUGGGGUAGAGGUCUGUCUUAGGGGUGGUGUGUGUCUGGGGUAGAGAGGUCUGUCUUAGGGGUGGUGUCCCCCCUGGGGUAGAGGUCUGUCUUAGGGGUGGUGUGUGUCUGGGGUAGAGGUCUGUCUUAGGGGUGGUGUGUGUCUGGGGUAGAGUUCUGUCUUAGGGGUGGUGUGUGUCUGGGGUAGAGGUCUGUCUUAGGGGUGGUGUGUGUCUGGGG
ensembl:lncRNA